GGGCGGUUAGCUCAGCGGGAGAGCAUCGGCCUUACAAGCCGGGGGUCGGCGGUUCAAAUCCGCCACCGCCCA
rnacentral:tRNA from 1 species